UACGUAGGGUGCGAGCGUUGUCCGGGAUUACUGGGCGUAAAGAGCGCGUAGGCGGCACGGUACGACCGGUGUGAAAGCCCCCGGCUCAACUGGGGAGGGUCACCGGUAACGGUCGAGCUAUGAGUGCAGGAGAGGGAAGUGGAACUCCGGGAGUAGCGGUGAAAUGCGUAGAGACCCGGAGGAACACCAGUGGCGAAGGCGGCUUCCUGGUCUGCAACUGACGCUGUGGCGCGAAAGCUAGGGGAGCAAACGGG
rnacentral:rRNA from 1 species